CUGAAUUCUGAAAGCACUCUCCGUCGUCACUCCGUUUUCCCCUCCAUUGCCAUUGAAGCUCGAGGAGCUCGUGUUCCCUCACUGGUCACUACAAUGACAACUUCAAGACGUGUUGCUGACAGGAAAGUUGCAAGGUUCGAGAGGAACAUUGAAAAGAAAACCCUCAUCCAAGAAAGGAUUCCCUGUGGGCCCUGUAGUUCUUGCCUUCAUUAUUUUUGUAGUCGUCGGUUCAUCUCUGUUUCAGAUCAUUAGGACGGCUAAGAGUCGCGGAAUGGCAUAAGCACUGAGGAUUAUGAAUUUGUAUCUUUAUGGACAAGUACAAUGGGAACAGCUUUACUAUUAUAAUAGUUCAACCAUGGUAGAGUUUCGUGUUAGAGUGUAUGGAGUUAAAAAAAUAGGUCACACUGAUCACUACUUGUGAACAGUGCAGCUUCAUACAUGUUAAUAAUUUAUAUAUGAUAUUAAAUAUUAAUAUAUGUAUGACUGAGGUCAUACAAGUGCCUAGUUCUU